GAUGAACGCUGGCGGCGUGCCUAAUACAUGCAAGUCGAGCGAACGGACGCGAAGCUUGCUUCUCUGAUGUUAGCGGCGGACGGGUGAGUAACACGUGGAUAACCUACCUAUAAGACUGGGAUAACUUCGGGAAACCGGAGCUAAUACCGGAUAAUAUUUUGAACCGCAUUGUUCAAAAGUGAAAGACGGUCUUGCUGUCACUUAUAGAUGGAUCCGCGCUGCAUUAGCUAGUUGGUAAGGUAACGGCUUACCAAGGCAACGAUGCAUAGCCGACCUGAGAGGGUGAUCGGCCACACUGGAACUGAGACACGGUCCAGACUCCUACGGGAGGCAGCAGUAGGGAAGCUUCCGCAAUGGGCGAAAGCCUGACGGAGCAACGCCGCGUGAGUGAUGAAGGUCUUCGGAUCGUAAAACUCUGUUAUUAGGGAAGAACAUAUGUGUAAGUAACUGUGCACAUCUUGACGGUACCUAAUCAGAAAGCCACGGCUAACUACGUG
rnacentral:rRNA from 1 species